UGGGGAAUUUUGGACAAUGGGCGAAAGCCUGAUCCAGCAAUGCCGCGUGUGUGAAGAAGGCCUUCGGGUUGUAAAGCACUUUUGUCCGGAAAGAAAUCCUUGGCUCUAAUACAGUCGGGGGAUGACGGUACCGGAAGAAUAAGCACCGGCUAACUACGUGCCAGCAGCCGCGGUAAUACGUAGGGUGCAAGCGUUAAUCGGAAUUACUGGGCGUAAAGCGUGCGCAGGCGGUUUGCUAAGACCGAUGUGAAAUCCCCGGGCUCAACCUGGGAACUGCAUUGGUGACUGGCAGGCUAGAGUAUGGCAGAGGGGGGUAGAAUUCCACGUGUAGCAGUGAAAUGCGUAGAGAUGUGGAGGAAUACCGAUGGCGAAGGCAGCCCCCUGGGCCAAAUACUGACGCUCAUGCACGAAAGCGUGGGGAGCAAAACAGGAUUAGAUACCCUGGUAGUCCACGCCCUAAAACGAUGUCAACUAGUUGUUGGGGAUUCAUUUCCUUAGUAACGUAGCUAACGCGUGAAGUUGACCGCCUGGGGAGUACGGUCGCAAGAUUAAAACUCAAAGGAAUUGACGGGGUCAUAGCUGUUUCC
rnacentral:rRNA from 1 species